UCGAAAUACGUCACGCAUGACGAAUCGCAGUUCGAUUGUGUUUCUUGUUGCUUUCGGACGUGCUUUUGUUCUGCUCUUGGAUUGCGUUGCUUUUUUUGCGGUUUGUGGACUUUUGCGGAGAGGAUUCAAGAUUUUUUAGGAUGAAGACGUUGGUGCGUUGUUGGAGGCGGUUCCGGCGGAGGCAGGCGGUGGCGCCGGAGGGAGAGGGUUCCUCGGACGACGCGGAACGAGUCUGUCGUUCCGUGCCGUCCGAGGAGCGACAGGCAGCGGGUGAAGAAGGCCUUCGCCAAGUGCGCGUGGCGUGGCAUCCUCCCGGAGUCGGGAUGAUGCGACGCUACACCCUGGGUCCAGUGCGCUUGGCCGAGGUCUUCGGGGGUCAUCCGGCCACAGACCUUGCUGUGGAGGAUGUCGAAAGUGACAGCUCGUCCGAGCUGACACUUUCUGUUUGGUCGUGUUCUGCCCGUUCGUCCGCGACGGCGACGCCACCGCCUUGCCGAAGUCUGGACGGGGAGGAGUCGGAGGAGAGAGCCCCCGAAGUCGAGGGACCGUGCUGUCCGUGGUUUAGUUGCUGCGGACGGCUGCGGUUGCCUUGGCCUAGGCGGUGAUCUUCUUCGACUUCCUCUUCUUCACCCGGAUGCGACUUUCUUACCGGAUUCGACACUUUUCACCCGGACAUGACAUCUUUUAACGGACGUGACCUCUUUUACCCGGACGUGACCCACGGACUUGACACGUUUCUUCACCGGACGCGACAUUCGGCCGACCUUUCUUCCCAAACAGCUGUUAUGAGGAUUGAGCUUCCGGUUAGGGUUGGUUAGGUUAGCCUAGGCUAGCCUAACGAACCCUUCGCUCUUCUCAUAACACUGUUCGGGAAGAAAGGCUGUCUGAUUAAGGUAAUAAUCUUGACCUUAGGUAAUAAAUGAAUAAACUUCUUGUUUUCUCACUGCGUUUGUGUUUUGUAGGAACAUUUGGGAGGGAGAAGGAUCUCCCUCCCCAACUUUACCACGAAGAGGACCAAGUGGCCAUUUAUCGUACAAGUGAAUAUUUUCCGAUGACAUGCCGAAGAUGUUCUUCGAUCACACACAUACACACACACGCACGGACAUAACACCACUGUACACGAAGAUAUACACCGUUUAACCUUUACUCGAAUUCUCGCACUCACGCACUUACACGUCAAGCGCCUCGUUCUGUGUAAUUCCACACAAUGAAACAACCCGAACACAC
rnacentral:lncRNA from 1 species